AGGUUACACUUUGCAUUAUCAGCCCAUGCUUCAGUGCUCUGCUAGUGUUUAUAGUCCUGUGAGUUUAACACUUCAUGACUGAGAGCUGCUGCCCAGCAACUUCACCCACAGCAACCAUGACUUUCUUCUCCAUCUUCAUCUGGACUCUCACUCUCUGGACUGGAGGGUCUUUUGGGGAAGUCAUAAUGACUCAGUCUCCAAAUUCUCAGCUUGUGACUCCAGGACAGACUGUUACCAUCAGCUGCAGAUCCAGUCAGGACAUUUAUAGCGCUCUCGCCUGGUAUCUUCAGAAAUCUGGAGAAGCUCCUAAACUGCUGGUUUAUGAUGCAUCUUCUCGUCAGUCUGGUGUUCCUGGUCGUUUUACUGGGAGUGGAUCUGGAUCUGAAUAUUCUCUACAGAUCUCUGGAGUUCAGGCUGAAGAUGCAGGAGAUUAUUACUGUCAGGAGGGUAGCAGCGGGUUAACACAGUGUUAGAGCGUCGUACAAAAACCUCCCUCAUCUGUAGAGGAAGUGCUCAGACUCAGAAACACACACUGAUCUGAGAUCAGCUGAUAAAGCUGCACUCAGCUGAGCUCAUCAACUCCAGAACUCUACAGUAGUGAACUUUUCUCUUUCUUUAGGGAGUUUUCCUCACUGUGGAACAGAGAUUUCACCACUAGAUGGAACAUCUCACUAGUAGCAGUGAAGCAGCAGCAGAUACACACUCUUAGGAGAUCACACACACUCUCCAGAGACUGGGAUUAAUAUUUUUCAGGUCAUUUUUGGAAGAAAUGAACGACAUGAGCUCCAGAACAAAACUGAAAAGUACCAUGCAGACUGUUCUCAGCAACAAGUCCAAAAUUCAGGUUCAGUCAUGGUAUGGAGGUGCAUCACUACAC